UUAAGCGACUAAGCGUACACGGUGGAUGCCCUGGCAGUCAGAGGCGAUGAAGGACGUGCUAAUCUGCGAAAAGCGCCGGCGAGGUGAUAUGAACCUUUGACCCGGCGAUGUCCGAAUGGGGAAACCCAGUGUGUUCCGACACACUAUCGUUAACUGAAUACAUAGGUUAACGAGGCGAACCGGGGGAACUGAAACAUCUAAGUACCCCGAGGAAAAGAAAUCAACCGAGAUUCCCCCAGUAGCGGCGAGCGAACGGGGAGGAGCCCAGAGUCUGAAUCAGCGUGUGUGUUAGUGGAAGCGUCUGGAAAGUCGCACGAUACAGGGUGAUAGUCCCGUACACGAAAAUGCACAGGCUGUGAACUCGAAGAGUAGGGCGGGACACGUGGUAUCCUGUCUGAAUAUGGGGGGACCAUCCUCCAAGGCUAAAUACUCCUGACUGACCGAUAGUGAACCAGUACCGUGAGGGAAAGGCGAAAAGAACCCCGGCGAGGGGAGUGAAAAAGAACCUGAAACCGUGUACGUACAAGCAGUGGGAGCACCCUUCGGGGUGUGACUGCGUACCUUUUGUAUAAUGGGUCAGCGACUUAUAUUCUGUAGCAAGGUUAACCGAAUAGGGGAGCCGAAGGGAAACCGAGUCUUAACUGGGCGUUAAGUUGCAGGGUAUAGACCCGAAACCCGGUGAUCUAGCCAUGGGCAGGUUGAAGGUUGGGUAACACUAACUGGAGGACCGAACCGACUAAUGUUGAAAAAUUAGCGGAUGACCUGUGGCUGGGGGUGAAAGGCCAAUCAAACCGGGAGAUAGCUGGUUCUCCCCGAAAGCUAUUUAGGUAGCGCCUCGUGAACUCAUCUUCGGGGGUAGAGCACUGUUUCGGCUAGGGGGUCAUCCCGACUUACCAACCCGAUGCAAACUGCGAAUACCGAAGAAUGUUAUCACGGGAGACACACGGCGGGUGCUAACGUCCGUCGUGAAGAGGGAAACAACCCAGACCGCCAGCUAAGGUCCCAAAGUCAUGGUUAAGUGGGAAACGAUGUGGGAAGGCCCAGACAGCCAGGAUGUUGGCUUAGAAGCAGCCAUCAUUUAAAGAAAGCGUAAUAGCUCACUGGUCGAGUCGGCCUGCGCGGAAGAUGUAACGGGGCUAAACCAUGCACCGAAGCUGCGGCAGCGACGCUUAGGCGUUGUUGGGUAGGGGAGCGUUCUGUAAGCCGUCGAAGGUGUGCUGUGAGGCAUGCUGGAGGUAUCAGAAGUGCGAAUGCUGACAUAAGUAACGAUAAAGCGGGUGAAAAGCCCGCUCGCCGGAAGACCAAGGGUUCCUGUCCAACGUUAAUCGGGGCAGGGUGAGUCGACCCCUAAGGCGAGGCCGAAAGGCGUAGUCGAUGGGAAACAGGUUAAUAUUCCUGUACUUGGUGUUACUGCGAAGGGGGGACGGAGAAGGCUAUGUUAGCCGGGCGACGGUUGUCCCGGUUUAAGCAUGUAGGCGGAGGUUCCAGGUAAAUCCGGUACCUUUUAACGCUGAGGUGUGAUGACGAGGCACUACGGUGCUGAAGUAACAAAUGCCCUGCUUCCAGGAAAAGCCUCUAAGCAUCAGGUAACACGAAAUCGUACCCCAAACCGACACAGGUGGUCAGGUAGAGAAUACCAAGGCGCUUGAGAGAACUCGGGUGAAGGAACUAGGCAAAAUGGUGCCGUAACUUCGGGAGAAGGCACGCUGACAUGUAGGUGAAGCCCCUGCGGGUGGAGCUGAAGUCAGUCGAAGAUACCAGCUGGCUGCAACUGUUUAUUAAAAACACAGCACUGUGCAAACACGAAAGUGGACGUAUACGGUGUGACGCCUGCCCGGUGCCGGAAGGUUAAUUGAUGGGGUUAUCCGUAAGGAGAAGCUCUUGAUCGAAGCCCCGGUAAACGGCGGCCGUAACUAUAACGGUCCUAAGGUAGCGAAAUUCCUUGUCGGGUAAGUUCCGACCUGCACGAAUGGCGUAAUGAUGGCCAGGCUGUCUCCACCCGAGACUCAGUGAAAUUGAACUCGCUGUGAAGAUGCAGUGUACCCGCGGCAAGACGGAAAGACCCCGUGAACCUUUACUAUAGCUUGACACUGAACAUUGAGCCUUGAUGUGUAGGAUAGGUGGGAGGCUUUGAAGCGUGGACGCCAGUCUGCGUGGAGCCAACCUUGAAAUACCACCCUUUAAUGUUUGAUGUUCUAACCUGGCGCCCUAAUCCGGCGUGGGGACAGUGUCUGGUGGGUAGUUUGACUGGGGCGGUCUCCUCCUAAAGAGUAACGGAGGAGCACGAAGGUUGGCUAAUCCUGGUCGGACAUCAGGAGGUUAGUGCAAUGGCAUAAGCCAGCUUGACUGCGAGCGUGACGGCGCGAGCAGGUGCGAAAGCAGGUCAUAGUGAUCCGGUGGUUCUGAAUGGAAGGGCCAUCGCUCAACGGAUAAAAGGUACUCCGGGGAUAACAGGCUGAUACCGCCCAAGAGUUCAUAUCGACGGCGGUGUUUGGCACCUCGAUGUCGGCUCAUCACAUCCUGGGGCUGAAGUAGGUCCCAAGGGUAUGGCUGUUCGCCAUUUAAAGUGGUACGCGAGCUGGGUUUAGAACGUCGUGAGACAGUUCGGUCCCUAUCUGCCGUGGGCGCUGGAGAAUUGAGGGGGGCUGCUCCUAGUACGAGAGGACCGGAGUGGACGCAUCACUGGUGUUCGGGUUGUCAUGCCAAUGGCAUUGCCCGGUAGCUACAUGCGGAAGAGAUAAGUGCUGAAAGCAUCUAAGCACGAAACUUGCCCCGAGAUGAGUUCUCCCUGAGACUUAGAGUCUCCUGAAGGAACGUUGAAGACGACGACGUUGAUAGGCCGGGUGUGUAAGCGCAGCGAUGCGUUGAGCUAACCGGUACUAAUGAACCGUGAGGCUUAACCUU
rnacentral:rRNA from 1 species